GGGAUGAGUGUCUCCGUGACCUCUUAUGGGAUGAGUGUCUCCGUGACCUCUUAUGGGAUGAGUGUCUCCGUGACCUCUAUUAUGGGAUGAGGUUCUCUGACCUCUAUUAUGGGAUGAGUGUCUCCGUGACCUCUAUUAUGGGAUGAGUGUCUCCGUGACCUCUAUUAUGGGAUGAGUGUCUCCAUGACCUCUAUGAUGGGAUGAGUGUCUCCAUGACCUCUAUUAUAGGAUGAGUGUCUCCGUGACAUGCAGACCAAAGCUUCAUACAGUAAAUGACACCACAGAUAGAGAAGCAGGCAGGGGUCCAGCUAGUUUUGGGACACAGCAUUGCACCAUAUUCCUGCUUCAUGCAAGCAUCCAGUAUCCUGCCCUCUACCUGGGAUGGCAGCAGAGCUCUCCUCCUCUCCUCUCCUCUCCUCCUCAGCCUCCAGUAUCCUGCCCUCUACCUCGGAUAGCAGCAGAGCUCUCCUCCUCUCCUCUCCUCUCCUCCUCAGCCUCCAGUAUCCUGCCCUCUGCCUGGGAUAGCAGCAGAGCUCUCCUCCUCUCCUCUCCUCCUCAGCCUCCAGUAUCCUGCCCUCUACCUGGGAUUCUCCUCUCCUCUCCUCUCCUCUCCUCUCCUCUCCUCUCCUCUCCUCUCCUCUCCUCUCCUCUCCUUUCCUCCUCAGCCUCCAGUAUCCUGCCCUCUACCUGGGAUAGCAGCAGAGCUCUCCUCCUCCCUCCUCUCCUCUCCUCCUCAGCCUCCAGUGUCCUUCCCUCUACCUGGGAUAGCACCAGAGCUCUCCUCCUCUCCUCUUCUCCUCUCCUCUUCUCCUCCUCUCCGCUUCUCCCUCUCAUCUCCUCCUCAGCCUCCAGUAUCCUGCCCUCUACCUGGGAUGGCCCCAGAGCUCUCCUCCUCUCCUCUCCUCCUCAGCCUCCAGUAUCCUGCCCUCUACCUGGGAUAGCACCAGAGCUCUCCUCCUCUCAUCUUCUCCUCUUCUCCUCUCCUCCUCUCCUCUCCGCUUCUCCCCCUCUCCUCUCCUCCUCAGCCUCCAGUAUCCUGCCCUCUACCUGGGAUAGCACCAGAGCUCUCCUCCUCUCCUCUUCUCCUCUCCUCCUCUCCUCUCCGCUUCUCCCCCUCUCAUCUCCUCCUCAGCCUCCAGUAUCCUGCCCUCUACCUGGGAUGGCCCCAGAGCUCUCCUCCCUCCUCCUCUCCUCUCCUCCUCAGCCUCCAGUGUCCUGCCCUCUACCUGGGAUUCUCCUCCUCUCCUCUCCUCUCCUCUCCUCUC
ensembl:lncRNA